CAGCAGCCGCGGUAAUACCGAGGGUGCAAGCGUUAAUCGGAAUUACUGGGCGUAAAGCGCGCGUAGGUGGUUUGUUAAGUUGGAUGUGAAAUCCCCGGGCUCAACCUGGGAACUGCAUCCAAAACUGGCAAGCUAGAGUAUGGUAGAGGGUGGUGGAAUUUCCUGUGUAGCGGUGAAAUGCGUAGAUAUAGGAAGGAACACCAGUGGCGAAGGCGACCACCUGGACUGAUACUGACACUGAGGUGCGAAAGCGUGGGGAGCAAACAGGAUCAGAUACCCCCGUAGUCCCUGUCUCUUAUAC
rnacentral:rRNA from 1 species